GUCAAAUUAUUACUUUUACUUUUCUAUUCCUCAUCCGUGUCCUUCAAAGUCACAUAUCCUGCACCAUCAUCAGAGCUGAACAAAGCUGUAGUUACGUUGCGACAUGCCUCCCGAGCCCGCAUGCAACCCGGCCAGGAGAGUAAAGUCAGCAGGCUCUUUAAGACACAGAACCCCUGCAAAGCAGCCGGACCAGUUCUGUCUCUCCGUCCAGCCUGAAGUACUGUGCUGAUCAGCUAUCUCCAGUGUUCACUGACAUCUUCAACACCUCACUGGAGACAUGUAAUUUGCCAGCCUGCUUCACAGCAUCCACCAUAAUCCCCAUCCCCAUCCCCAAAAAGCCAAGGACCACAGGACUCACUGACCUGUCGCCCUGCCCACUGUGGUCAUGAAGUCGUUUGAGUGCUUUGUGCCUUCCCACCUCAAAACCAUAACUGACCCACUCCUGGGUCCCCUGCAGUUGGCCUACAGAGCCAACAGGUCAGUAAACAAGGCUCUACACUUCAUCCUCCAGCACCUGUAUUCAGGAACCUAUGCCAGGAUCCUGUUUGUGGACCAGCUCUGCUAAAGGACAGGACAUGAAUACGCAAUCAACUAUAGUCAGUACUUAUUCUCAUGGCUUGUUGGGUUAAAGAAUAAAAAGGUCUGGAGAACAAUUUUACCUAGAAUUAAUUGAAAUAAAAAUAAAAGUAUUUUAAAUCCUGAAAUGGAAAACAGAAAAGCCCAUAUGUAAAUGCUCAAAUCAAAUUUGAAUUCUGGUUAAAAUCAUCCUUUAUGUUACAAGAUGUACCAAUAGAGAUAUUUGUGCUUACUUGUUAAGGAAGGUACUUACUUCUUGUGCUUUAUUUUAAUAUCCUGAUGUCUUACACUUUAAGUACUGCAAUAUUAUCAUAUGUAUUGAAUAGAAUAACAGCUAAUUUCUGAUGAAAGAUUAUGAAAACAAAACAGUAAUCAUGAUACACAAUUGCAAUAUGUCAAUUUAAAUCAUGUAUUAAUAAAUCACAGUUGACUUUCCAAAAUCA